GUAGUUUUAGUAACUUACUACUACAAAUGAACUAAAUACUAAUUUCUCUGAGAGUAUAUUGAUCCCCGUAUAACUAACGUACUAAAUGACCUGUGCGAGUUAGUACUGUGAGUAAAAUUUGCGCUCCUUAAUGCUGGAAUACAGUCUGUAUCCCAGACAGAAUGGACCAUAACUCGUGCAAACUCUUGACUCGUGCAAACGGCACUCUGUGACUAGCCAUAGUACUACAUCGGGUGCCAAAUGUCACAGACACAGAAAAGUAUUGGGACGGUCCAGGGAUUGAUGCAAGUCAGGUGCUCUACCAGUUAGUGAGCUAAUCAACCUUGGUAACUCACAUACUCUAUGAUUGUUACAAAUAAACAGGCAGCAAAUACCUGUGUUCAAGAAAUGACAUGAUGUGAACUAUUCAUCUUACAAUAUAGUGAAAUCUACACAUACAACUAUGACGUUGCAACCAAAACCCCUUGAAAGACGAGGUAGAGAGGUGAAAAAAGAUGGCUUCCUUCGCGGAACGAAACUAUGGAAAUGGAGAAAUACAUUUAUAUCAACAAGCCUUGUUUCCAUAAUUUCCUUAUUUGCAUUUGCAGCGAUAUAUUCGGAUAGAAACCCUGACAAAUUGCUCAACUUCAAGAAGUUUCAAGAACGGUUUGCCAUUAGUCAAAGAGAUCCGAACAGGGUGGCAGAACUUGAAAAAAGACUUGAAAAGAUAAAACAGACCAGGGCCAUGGGUGAUGAUAAACAUUGAUAAUUGGUUUGGUUAUAACUGAGCUUUUGUUUUAAAGUGCUUUGUACAUAUGCUUAUCAUUUAUGAUAAAUGCACUGUGUAUUCUUAUAAUUGGAAGAAUUAAAAUGAAAUGACUGAUGAUACAAAUGUA